AUUGAACGCUGGCGGCAGGCUUAACACAUGCAAGUCGAGCGAGCGGCGGACGGGUGAGUAAUGUCUGGGAAACUGCCUGAUGGAGGGGGAUAACUACUGGAAACGGUAGCUAAUACCGCAUACCAUCAGAUGUGCCCAGAUGGGAUUAGCUAGUAGGUGGGGUAAUGGCUCACCUAGGCGACGAUCCCUAGCUGGUCUGAGAGGAUGACCAGCAACACUGGAACGUGGACACGGGCCAGAAUCCUGCGGGAGGGAGCAGUGGGGAAGAUUGCAAAAUGGGGGAAAGCCUGAUGCAGCCAUGCCGGGUGUGUGAAGAAGGCCUUCGGGUUGUAAAGCACGUUCAGCGAGGAGGCGUUACUCGCAGAAGAAGCACCGGCUAACUCCGUGCCAGCAGCCGGGGUAAUAC
rnacentral:rRNA from 1 species